AUGGGUGCCUGGCAGGUUUCCCCCGCAGCACUUCGGGAAGCUCUAUGGGCUGGCCAUGGCACUGUCGGCGCUGGUGGCCCUGCUGCAGUACCCCUGUGUUGCCCUGGUGCAGGGGCCGCUCCAGGGGGACCCCUUCUAUGGUGCUGGUGGUGUCCCCAGUAUCCCUGUGCCAUGCGGCCCUGCCUGCUGAUUGCUCUGGCCCUGCUGGGCACAGUUCCCGCCAGCCACUCCGCUCUUGCCAGCCCUGCGGUGGAGGAUGAGGAGGACGUGACAGAGCUGGAGAUGCCCGAGGAGUUCAGCGGGUGCCGGGGGGGCAGUGACAAGCAGACACCCGGUGUCCCCAGCAUGCCAGGCACCGCCACCUGCCGCUACGUCGUCAUCUCCCACUGCCAGAACUUCUGCCAUGCCCAGCGCAUCUGUGCCCAGCGCUUCCGCGGGCGCCUGGCCUCGAUCCACG
rnacentral:lncRNA from 1 species